GUCCCCUUCGUCUAGCGGUUAGGACGUUACCCUUUCACGGUGAAAACAGGGGUUCGAUUCCCCUAGGGGACGCCA
rnacentral:tRNA from 1 species